rnacentral:lncRNA from 1 species
GCUUGAUCCAGAAGCUGAGUAUUGCUUGAUUCUAGGCCUUCAUCUGGAAUUGCUAGUGUGCAGUAAAGAGCAUGGCUGUGCAUCUGGGAGACUGGAAUGGCCAGGAAGUGUUCAGAAUUUGACCAAGCGCCGGAGUGAAGUGGCCGCUUGAUUAAAGCCCCUGAAACUGCUGUUGUUCUCUCAGCUGCCCAGUGGGAUGAAAGGACCGUGUGUCACUAUGGACACGGCGUGGCAAAGCAAGGAUCCAUAUGCCCUGCAGGAAGUGUGGUGCUUUUCAUUUUCUUUAAGCUGAGAGACAAUCUCUUCCUGGCCAGCUGGCAAGCACAGGG